AGAGUUUGAUCCUGGCUCAGGAUGAACGCUGGCGGUAUGCUUAACACAUGCAAGUCGAACGGACCCUUCGGGGUUAGUGGCGGACGGGUGAGUAACGCGUGAGAAUCUGCCUUUAGGUCGGGGACAACAGUUGGAAACGACUGCUAAUACCGGAUGUGCAGCAAUGUGAAAGAUUUAUUGCCUAAAGAUGAGCUCGCGUCUGAUUAGCUAGUAGGUGUGGUAAUGGCGCACCUAGGCGACGAUCAGUAACUGGUCUGAGAGGAUGACCAGUCACACUGGGACUGAGACACGGCCCAGACUCCUACGGGAGGCAGCAGUGGGGAAUUUUCCGCAAUGGGCGCAAGCCUGACGGAGCAAUACCGCGUGAGGGACGACGGCUUUUGGGUUGUAAACCUCUUUUCCCUGGGAAGAAGAUCUGACGGUACCAGGGGAAUCAGCAUCGGCUAACUUCGUGCCAGCAGCCGCGGUAAUACGAGGGAUGCAAGCGUUAUCCGGAAUUAUUGGGCGUAAAGCGUCCGCAGGUGGCUUUGUAAGUCUGUCGUUAAAGCGUGGAGCUCAACUCCAUAUCGGCGAUGGAAACUACAAGACUAGAGUUUGGUAGGGGUCACGGGAAUUCCUAGUGUAGCGGUGAAAUGCGUAGAUAUUAGGAAGAACACCAGCGGCGAAAGCGCGUGACUGGGCCAAUACUGACACUCAUGGACGAAAGCUAGGGGAGCGAAAGGGAUUAGAUACCCCUGUAGUCCUAGCCGUAAACGAUGGAUACUAGGUGUUGCCCGUAUCGACCCGGGCAGUGCCGUAGCUAACGCGUUAAGUAUCCCGCCUGGGGAGUACGCACGCAAGUGUGAAACUCAAAGGAAUUGACGGGGGCCCGCACAAGCGGUGGAGUAUGUGGUUUAAUUCGAUGCAACGCGAAGAACCUUACCAAGGCUUGACAUGUCGCGAAUUCCCUUGAAAGGGGGAAGUGCCUUCGGGAGCGCGAACACAGGUGGUGCAUGGCUGUCGUCAGCUCGUGUCGUGAGAUGUUGGGUUAAGUCCCGCAACGAGCGCAACCCUCGUUUUUAGUUGCCAUCAUUUAGUUGGGCACUCUAGAGAGACUGCCGGUGACAAACCGGAGGAAGGUGGGGAUGACGUCAAGUCAGCAUGCCCCUUACGUCUUGGGCUACACACGUACUACAAUGCUACGGACAAAGGGCUGCCAACUCGCGAGAGUGCGCUAAUCCCAUAAACCGUGGCUCAGUUCAGAUCGUAGGCUGCAACUCGCCUACGUGAAGGCGGAAUCGCUAGUAAUCGCAGGUCAGCAUACUGCGGUGAAUACGUUCCCGGGCCUUGUACACACCGCCCGUCACACCAUGGAAGUCGGCCACGCCCGAAGCCGUUACCCUAACCGUAAGGAGGGGGGCGUCUAAGGCAGGGCUAAUGACUGGGGUGAAGUCGUAACAAGGUAGCCGUACCGGAAGGUGUGGCUG
rnacentral:rRNA from 1 species